UGCAGAGAGGAGGCGGCGUGGGAUGCUGCUCUUCUUUUCAGCUCCCUGGAGAUCUGAAGCCAAGAUAGCAUGUAGCAGCAGCAUCCGUACAGGCAGUCGCUCCACACGCUUCCCUGCUCAGAGAAAAAGAGACAGAAAGAGACAGAAAGAGCUGAACAUCAGUGGGAGGCCCUGGCAGAAAGGUCAACAUUUACAUUCAGGAUUCGCGCCGUGAUGGGAAAACUGCUGCUUUACAAAACAAACAACCUACAGGUUUGGACCCGUUUUCAGAAGAAGUCCUGGCAUCGCUCCGCAGCCUCGGCCCACUCCGCCCUCAGAGGAGCCAACAUUUCCAGCCUCCUUCUCUCAUGGCAGCGCUCCAGCCUCCGUCCGGCCCACAAACACUUUCAGCCUUAUCUGUCCUCCUCACUUUCCCAGAAAAUAAAAGGAAAAAAAUGUC